UAUGGCUCAGGACGAACGCUGGCGGCGUGCUUCAUACAUGCAAGUCGAACGAUAAGGUCUCUUCGGAGAUACAUAAGUGGCGGACGGGUGAGUAAAAUGUAGAGAAUCUGCCCUAGAGUGGGGGACAACAGUUGGAAACGACUGCUAAUACCGCAUAUGAGCGUAGCUGAAAUGCUAUUCUUGAAAACUCCGGUGCUCUGGGAUGAGUCUGCAUCUGAUUAGCUAGUUGGGGGUGUAAUGGACCACCAAGGCGACGAUCAGUAGCUGGUUUGAGAGGAUGAUCAGCCACAAUGGGACUGAGACACGGCCCAUACUCCUACGGGAGGCAGCAGUAGGGAAUUUUGCGCAAUGGGGGAAACCCUGACGCCAGCAACGCCGCGUGACCGAUGAAGCCCUUCGGGGUGUAAAGGUCUGUCAGUGGGGACGAAACUUGACGGUACCCACAGAGGAAGCAUCGGCUAACUCCGUGCCAGCCGCUGC
rnacentral:rRNA from 1 species